rnacentral:lncRNA from 1 species
CCUUCAGCCCCUGUGAGGUGAGGGGGUCCUGCUUUCAGUCCAGUUGGCCCACUGAGGGCUGGGGGGAGGGUGCAGCCGCUGUGUCCCCCGUGCCCCUCCCCUCCCUGAAGGUGGCUGUCUGGAACCAUGGAGGAUGUUCCAUAUCAAGAGCUUGGGGCUGACUGGAGUCAUGAGAGCUGGUGGAGGGAGAGGACAGUGGGGGCAGACUGGAUGGUCCUGAGGCCUCGGCCCUUCAGGGGCCAGACCAGCCCCAGCAGCCUCUUGGUCACGCCUUGGGGAAGCUGAGAGCUGCCUGCUGCCCAGAAGGCUUGCUGCCUCAGCCGCACACCCCGGAUGCUCUGGAAUGUUCCCUGGCCCUGCUCAUUGGCCCUCAGAGCCUCUCCUCUGCUGCCCCUCCCAUGUCCCCUCCCCUCUGCCUCCUGGACGGGGCGCCUGGGCCCUGCAGAGUCUGUCCCUCCUGGCGACUUUCUCUCACUCAUCUCUUCCCCGUGCUCUUUUGCUAAAUUCUCCAGCUCUUCACUCUCCAUGAGGACCCUUCCGGAAAGCAGUGAGGAGAGGACAGGAAGGACUACAGAUGCUGUGCGGACGUUGUACCUCCAGAAAGUGGACAACAGGAAGCCUCGAAGAGCGUGCAGCCGACCCUUGACACCAUAGGGGUCCAUGACCUAACCAGACAGAGCCAUGAACAGACACGACAGUAGGAAACAGACUUCUCUCUGCACAACGUGUCUAAGGUCGGUCAGACAACUGAGGAAGUAUCAGGAGUGACCACUUACGGGGUUUGGGGUCUGGGGCUUCUGCUGGGGUGAUGAAGAAGGUCUGGGGCCAGAUGGUGGGGAUGACGCACAGCGCUGUGCAGGCCCUGAAUGUCAUGGUGGUGUAUACUUUAAAAUGGCUCAAAUGGCAAACCUUAUGUGUAUUUUACCACAAUAAAAAUA